UUGUCUUUAAAAAGCCUCCACUCUAUUCAUCUCCAGACACAAAACUUGUCUGUGACUUUGAUGCAUCAGCUUCCUCUUUUUAUAACAUGACAAUGGAUAUUUUGCCUAAACUGGGUUUUAUCUUCAUGUUUGCUCUCACAGAAUUCUGUUGGUGUCAAACACUGACUGAGUCUGAGUCAGUGGUCAUUAAACCUGGAGGAUCUCACAGACUCACCUGUACAUUCUCUGGAUUUAGUAGUUACCCAGACUUAGCCAUACAACUAGACAUGAAUCAUUUCAUAAAGAAAAUUGACUACUACUCUCAGUCUGUUCAGGGACGCUUCACCAUCUCCAGAGACAACAGCAAGAAACAGAUGUAUCUGCAGAUGAAUAAUAUGAAGAAUGAAGACACUGCUGUAUAUUAUUGUGCAAGAGAGACACAGUGAUGAAUACAGCUACAGCAC